CACCAACGUCCACGUGUUCAUACCUCCUCGUUAUGCUUCUAACCUUGCUUGGGUUUGAGCAUUUGGUGGCUUUACUGUGUUGCGUACCUUGUCAAAGGCAUCGGAUGUUUUGAUCCUAAACAUUUCCGUCGUGCGUUGCACUUGUUGCGAACGAUGGACCUUGAAGCGAUCUCUUCGAUCCAUGUCUUUGUUGUGUUUUCGACGAUGAUGUGGCCCGUUGAGCGUUGCUUGGUCUCAUGGAUAUGGAACCUGAUUGCGGGCAUGGGUUCUCUCACGAUCCCUUUUAUGUCCUUGUUCAGCGUUCUCGCUUCUCUAAACGACCGCCAUCCAUGUGCUAUGUGCGUGGUUGGCUACGUCGAA
rnacentral:misc_RNA from 1 species